ACGCAGCGAAAUGCGAUAAGUAAUGUGAAUUGCAGAAUUCAGUGAAUCAUCGAAUCUUUGAACGCACAUUGCGCCCCCCAGUAUUCUGGAGGGCAUGCCUGUUCGAGCGUCAUUUCAACCAUCAAGCCCUGGGCUUGUGUUGGGGACCUGCGGCUGCC
rnacentral:rRNA from 1 species